AUCUGGCUCUUUUAGAGUCCGAAUUGUAAUUUGUAGAAGAUGCUUCGGGUGUGGUUCCGGUCUAAGUUCCUUGGAACAGGACGUCAUAGAGGGUGAGAAUCCCGUAUGUGACUGGAUACCUAUGCUCAUGUGAAGCUCUUUCGACGAGUCGAGUUGUUUGGGAAUGCAGCUCAAAAUGGGAGGUAUAUUUCUUCUAAAGCUAAAUAUUGGCCAGAGACCGAUAGCGCACAAGUAGAGUGAUCGAAAGAUGAAAAGCACUUUGGAAAGAGAGUUAAACAGUACGUGAAAUUGUUGAAAGGGAAGCGCUUGCAAUCAGACUUGCACUUGGUGUUCAUCAGGAUCUCGUAUCCUGUGUACUUCAUCAAGUUCAGGCCAGCAUCAGUUUGAGUGGUUAGAUAAAGGCUUAGAGAAUGUGGCCCUCUUCGGGGGGUGUUAUAGCUCUAGGUGCAAUGUAGCCUACUUGGACUGAGGACCGCGCUUCGGCUAGGAUGCUGGCGUAAUGGUUGUAAGCGACCCGUCUUGAAACACGGACCAAGGAGUGUACCUAAUAUGCGAGUGUUUGGGUGUUAAACCCAUACGCGUAAUGAAAGUGAACGCUGGUGAGAACCCUUAAGGGUGCAUCAUCGACCGAUCUUGAUGUCUUCGGAUGGAUUUGAGUAAGAGCAUAUUGGGUGCGACCCGAAAGAUGGUGAUCUAUACGUGAAUAGGGUGAAGCCAGAGGAAACUCUGGUGGAGGCUCGCAGCGGUUCUGACGUGCAAAUCGAUCGUCAAAUUUGCGUAUA
rnacentral:rRNA from 1 species